rnacentral:rRNA from 1 species
CAUGCCGUAAACGUUGGGCACUAGGUGUGGGGCUCAUUCCACGAGUUCUGCGCCGCAGCAAACGCAUUAAGUGCCCCGCCUGGGGAGUACGGCCGCAAGGCUAAAACUCAAAGGAAUUGACGGGGGCCCGCACAAGCGGCGGAGCAUGCGGAUUAAUUCGAUGCAACGCGAAGAACCUUACCAGGGCUUGACAUAUACCGAAAACUCAUAGAGAUAUGAGGUCCGUAAGGGCGGUAUACAGGUGG